rnacentral:lncRNA from 1 species
GGUGCCGGGAGCGGGGCGAGGAGGAGGGUGGGUAUGAGGCGGUAGCGGACCGCGGAGUCGAGACCUACCCGAACGACGCGGGCGAGCGGGGCUUUGGACGCCGGUGGAGACGCAGGCGAGACUCCAGCGGGAGGAAGAAGAGGCCUUUGCCAGCAGUCAGAGCAGCCAAGGGGCCCAAUCCCUCACAUUCUCCAAGUUUGAAGGAAAGAAAACCAACAAGAAGACCCGCAAGGUUACCACAGUGAAGAAAUCUUCAGUACGUCUUCCAGGGUCGGAUCAAAGAAGGGCUGGAGUGCAAUGGCGCGAUCUCGGCUCACUGCAACCUCCACCUAUUGGGUUCAAGUGAUUCUCCUGCCUCAGCCUCCCAAUAGCUGGGAUUACAGAUAUUGAAAUGGAUUCCAGGCGUGUGCCUCGAGACAAGCUGGCCUGCAUCACCAAGUGCAGCAAGCACAUCUUCGAUGCCAUCAAGAUCACCUAGAACGAGCUGGCGUCAGCAGAUGACUUCCUCCCCACCCUCAUCUACAUUGUUUUGAAGGGCAACCCCCAUGCCUUCAGUCUAAUAUCCAGUAUAUCACGUGCUUCUGCAAUCCAAGCCGACUGAUGACUGGAGAGGAUGGCUACUAUUUCACCAAUCUGGUGAGUAAGUGAGUUCUUGGCGUUGUGGAGAAGGACUAGGAAGGUGGUGGUUUUGGGGAUGUGAUAGGUCACUCAGGCCCAUGACAGGUGAAUGCUUCUGUGUGAGAAGGCAGCACGGCUGAGGAAGCUCACUUUGCAUCAGGGAGCACAAGGACCAGGCCGUACAGACACUCCGCCUCCCCGCACUUGAUCAGAGAUUGUGUUUAUCCUACAGAAACAGAUGACAUGUGUUGGGCAUCACUCCCCACGGUCCUGGGUAGAAGAGUCCUUCACUUGGCAGGGCUUUUUCAACCAAUGAAUAAGGCAAAUUAUAUAUAAGUUAAUAAUGCCAUUUCGAACCGAGACAGAUGGCAGCUAAAUGAAGUUUAAUUAAAGAAUGAGCGCUGGGGCCCUUUUUAUUGGGUACUGCAUCUACUUCGACCACAAAAGACGAAGUGACCCCAACUUCAAGAACAGGCUUUGAGAUGGAAGAAAGAAACAGAAGCUUGCCAAGGAGAGAGCUGGGCUUUCCAAGUUACCUGACCUUAAAGAUGCUGAAGCUGUUCAGAAGUUCUUCCUUGAAGAAAUACAGCUUGGUGAAGAGUUACUAGCUCAAGGUGAAUAUGAGAAGGGCGUAGACCAUCUGACAAACGGAAUUGCUGUGUGUGGACAGCCACAGCAGUUACUGCAGGCCUUACAGCAAACUCUUCCACCACUAGUGUUCCAGAUGCUUUUGACUAAGCUCCCAACAAUUAGAGAAUUCUAAGUGCUCAGAGCUUGGCUGAAGAUGAUGUGGAAUGAGAAACAAAUGUUAACAUAAUAAAAUCUCAGUUAAAAAUAUUUAAAAAAUUCUUGGUAGUUGAGCAGCUCUGGGGGAAUAAGGGCAAAUAUCCUUGUUAUGAACUACACUGAAAUCUACCAAAGUUAAUGUUUACUUUGUGUAGGUCCAUUUGUCUAUUUUAUUUAUUUUUCCCAGUGAAAAGUGUAUUUUGAUAGAGAACUUUUCAUUUUAUAAAUACACUAUGAGUUACUGAAAAUUC